UGGGAGCCGCAGCCCCGAGCCCGGUCGCCUCACUUGGCGGACGUGAGGCCUGUAGUAAAGAGUGAGGCCUGAGGUAGAUUACCCCUCCCAUCGAAUAUGUUAGUUUCCUGCUUACCGCGUAAACAACCCGCUCAACAAUAUAGUCUGCCUGGCAACUGAUGAUGUUAGCCAAUCAGCUUGCCUUGCUUACUUUAACAUGAUUGGACACUGUACCCGUAUAUAUACCGGUGCCACCCCUGGGCGGAAGAGGAAGCCAGGUAGAAGCCCGGAAGUAGAAGCCCAAAAGGAGCCGCGGAGAGCGGACCGGUAGAGGCUUUGGGGCAGACUGAAGCACAAAAGGAGCCGCGGGGAGCGGACCAGAGGAGGCUUCAGCUGGGAGAACCCAGGGCAGGCUGUACGGAGAAGGAAAAUAAAAAGAAAAGGUUGUCCACUACCAGACUUUGUCGUGUGUCCUUCCUGCCGGCCGGGAGCGGACAUCGACAUUUGGAGGCCCGCCCGGGGACUGAUCACCCCCGCGACGUGGAAGUGGACAACGCUCCAGUACAGAGCUGCGAGACAGGAACCGGGACGAGAACCACUGUGGAUACCGGAGAGACUGACACGGGCAACAAAGCCCUCGACUAAAGAUCAGACCUGCCCUACUGGAGAUCCAUCACAGACCAACCAAUAAGAUGAAUAGAAAUAGCGGUAGCCCGAAAUGGACAAGAAGAUCCUCAGGCAUAUGCAUGGCUUGCUCAAUCGGCCCACGACCGAGUCUAGAUAUGGCGGGCAUCCCUCAUUCUCCUCCAUAAGGUGACAAUACACAGCAGGGUAGGUGAGUCAAUGACGGGUAAGAGCGUGCCUCCCCAGCACGACUCGACCUAAGCCAGGCCCUACCCCAUCCUGCACGUAAGCCGCUGGACUGUUAGAUGCUGCCCAGGUCUAAAUUUCUCUCCGAGGGGAUUUCUUUACGGAGAGGAAAUGAGUGCAAGCUUGUGUGCAUCCAGGUUCCGUCCAGUUUGUGCCUGGCCCUAGAAAAAGGACGAGGGCCUCAGGGCCUUGGCAGACCAUGGGACGGCCGACCAGGGUCUAAGCCAAGGACCUACGGUGGGCCUACGCAUAGGGCAUAAGCCUCUGCACCCAGUCCAGGAAGGGCUACGAUGCGCACAUUCAUAAAAAAUAAAAAAGGGGGAGAUGUUGGGAGCCGCAGCCCCGAGCCCGGUCGCCUCACUUGGCGGACGUGAGGCCUGUAGUAAAGAGUGAGGCCUGAGGUAGAUUACCCCUCCCAUCGAAUAUGUUAGUUUCCUGCUUACCGCGUAAACAACCCGCUCAACAAUAUAGUCUGCCUGGCAACUGAUGAUGUUAGCCAAUCAGCUUGCCUUGCUUACUUUAACAUGAUUGGACACUGUACCCGUAUAUAUACCGGUGCCACCCCUGGGCGGAAGAGGAAGCCAGGUAGAAGCCCGGAAGUAGAAGCCCAAAA